rnacentral:rRNA from 1 species
GGAUAACACUUGGAAACAGGUGCUAAUACCGUAUAACAAUCGAAACCGCAUGGUUUUGAUUUGAAAGGCGCUUUCGGGUGUCGCUGAUGGAUGGACCCGCGGUGCAUUAGCUAGUUGGUGAGGUAACGGCUCACCAAGGCCACGAUGCAUAGCCGACCUGAGAGGGUGAUCGGCCACAUUGGGACUGAGACACGGCCCAAACUCCUACGGGAGGCAGCAGUAGGGAAUCUUCGGCAAUGGACGAAAGUCUGACCGAGCAACGCCGCGUGAGUGAAGAAGGUUUUCGGAUCGUAAAACUCUGUUGUUAGAGAAGAACAAGGAUGAGAGUAACUGUUCAUCCCUUGACGGUAUCUAACCAGAAAGCCACGGCUAACUACGUGCCAGCAGCCGCGGUAAUACGUAGGUGGCAAGCGUUGUCCGGAUUUAUUGGGCGUAAAGCGAGCGCAGGCGGUUUCUUAAGUCUGAUGUGAAAGCCCCCGGCUCAACCGGGGAGGGUCAUUGGAAACUGGGAGACUUGAGUGCAGAAGAGGAGAGUGGAAUUCCAUGUGUAGCGGUGAAAUGCGUAGAUAUAUGGAGGAACACCAGUGGCGAAGGCGGCUCUCUGGUCUGUAACUGACGCUGAGGCUCGAAAGCGUGGGGAGCAAACAGGAUUAGAUACCCUGGUAGUCCACGCCGUAAACGAUGAGUGCUAAGUGUUGGAGGGUUUCCGCCCUUCAGUGCUGCAGCUAACGCAUUAAGCACUCCGCCUGGGGAGUACGACCGCAAGGUUGAAACUCAAAGGAAUUGACGGGGGCCCGCACAAGCGGUGGAGCAUGUGGUUUAAUUCGAAGCAACGCGAAGAACCUUACCAGGUCUUGACAUCCUUUGACCACUCUAGAGAUAGAGCUUCCCCUUCGGGGGCAAAGUGACAGGUGGUGCAUGGUUGUCGUCAGCUCGUGUCGUGAGAUGUUGGGUUAAGUCCCGCAACGAGCGCAACCCUUAUUGUUAGUUGCCAUCAUUCAGUUGGGCACUCUAGCAAGACUGCCGGUGACAAACCGGAGGAAGGUGGGGAUGACGUCAAAUCAUCAUGCCCCUUAUGACCUGGGCUACACACGUGCUACAAUGGGAAGUACAACGAGU